UACAGAGGGUGCAAGCGUUAAUCGGAAUUACUGGGCGUAAAGCGUGCGUAGACGGUUAUUUAAGUCAGGUGUGAAAGCCCCGGGCUCAACCUGGGAAUUGCAUUUGAGACUGAAUAGCUAGGGUGCGGAAGAGGGAAGCGGAAUUUCCGGUGUAGCGGUGAAAUGCGUAGAUAUCGGAAGGAACACCAGUGGCGAAAGCGGCUUCCUGGUCCAGCACCGACGUCAGGCACGAAAGCGUGGGGAGCAAACGGG
rnacentral:rRNA from 1 species